AGUUUAUUGCUUUUGGUGCUGAUUUUCUAGGCUGGUGUUUAAUCUGUGGGAAAUGUGAAAUGCUGAUUGUACUUUACUUAUAUGGAAAAGGCCCAGCUUGUGAGCAAAUUAUUGUGUUGCUAAAGAUUGGACAAGCUCCUUUGAACUAUUUUCUUUACUAACCUACAGUGAUCCUUUAUUGCAGGCACUUAAAAAUGAAAACCAGCGACUUCACAGUGUUUAGAGACAUUGAAGAAGAAAUAUAGUGCUCUUCAUGCACAUGAGAAUCAGAUUCAAACAGAUACAAUAAACGUUAAUUGUGACUUCUUGUCAGGUUUUCCUUUGUAAGCCUACAAGUUCCCUGACAGCCUUGCAAUUACAGAACGAAAUAUUAAAAAAAAAAAAUCACAGGGUAGAUGUGAUUCUGUGCCCAGGGAUUAUUCUGUAACCUUGAAAGGUUGAACUGACACCGCUUCUGUGAAAGGAAGCAGUGGGUGAGCGCCUAUAUGCUUUUUCACAAGUGACAUCUGAUUUAAGAAGUACCUUACCUGGUAUCCUCACUGUUCUAAAGAGGAUAUUGAAAAUUAAUGCCAUUGCACGCUUCUAAAUUGAUCAAAAUUGAUGUCAUUACAGGCAUAAAGGCAUUGUAAAGCUGGAUGAGCACUCACAAGGCGUAACUUCAAGGGGGUUACAUUAUGCUACAUGCCAUGGCAAAUGGAACCAAGAUUGGGAGCCUGGGUUUCUAAAAAGCAAAGAAAACACGUGGAUUCAUCAUGUUUUUGAUACCUGCAGACAUACCAACAACCAGGACAAAAAUGCAAGUUUCCCUGCAGAACCGGUGCCAGGAUGCACACACAUGCUCACACUCUGCCACAGUCGCUUUGGUCUUCCCUGGAUUAAGUUUUUAACUCAAGCUGCCCGUCUCAGCUGAACUUCAAAAAACCCAGGAGAGCACAUCAUCUGGUUAUGGGGAGCAGGGAUGCAGAACCAACUGAUAUGAGAGCAUCUGUGUAAUUCCAGCUGAUGCUGUUGCGGAGGCUGAAGAUAUCAGACUCGUUUCAUUUUUUUUUUUGUUUUAAAUUUACACUGUAUCCCUCUGGCAUCAGCAGAGAAGCUUGAGCUGGAGAUGAUCGCAUAGACAAGCUUGUCCUUUUUGUUCCAUUGACUUUCUUCUUCAUCUUUUCAAGAAGUUUUACAUGCUCCAAGCUGCUUAAAGACUUUUGACUUUACAGGUUUUUUUCACUGAAAUCCUUGUACCUAUUUCUGAUCGGCUUGAAGAGUCUUAUGCAGACACAGAACUGGAUUGUGAAAGGUCUGUGAAUAAGUAUUUCAGCUGGUUAAUAUUCCCUGUUCUGGACAGCAAAAUAUCUCUGUAUGUUUGUAAAUGCCAACCAUUCUAAGCUCUGGUUCAAUGUUUAAAUUGCCUGUUGCAAAACUUCAUCAACUUUCUCAUAAUUAUUUGUGUACUGGAGCAGCCUCUCUAUACAAAAAACCAAAAGUCAAAGAGCAGAUCAGGUUGAUGGUGUUCUCAGCCAUGUUUGUUUCUGUCAGUAUGCGUUGAGGGACCGGAGAGAGGUGUGUGAAACUCUUCCCUGUUUGUCUGCCCGGCUCUCCCCUUUGGCUGUGCUCGGAGGAUGAACUUUUAUGCAGAAAUGGGAAAAAUCUCAGAGAGAGUGCAUGGCUCUCAAAACAGUAGCUUGCCCUUUAUAGAAGAACUCGUAGUGGGUAAUGGUUUACACAUCUUUAAGGGAAAGAAAAAUUGGUUGACAAUGAAUGUUUUUAUAUGCAAUGGAAUUUCAAGUUACUAAGCAAAAGGAAACACACAUAAUAUAUAGACAGAGGCAUAAAGUGAAUCUUUUCACCUAGGCUUUUGGAAAAUGCUACCCAAGAAAAAAUCAGUUGCAUAAAAACCUGUGUCACACUUAAUUCUGUGAACAGAGUGACUGCGUAAUUAACCACACUAGCUGGGGAUGAGGACACAUUAGAAGAUCAGGUGAGAGAAGCAGAGUUAAAAUAGCACGAAAGUAAGAACCGUGGGGCAGAAACAAUGCUGUGAGGGGAAAAAUUACUGGCUAGAAACUUCCAUCCCUACACGCACAAGAAUAUCUGUUAUAUUUUAAAUUCAAGUCGUAGCAGACUUCAGAAUGUGUGCUACUUUGGAAGAGAGAGAACAUCUCUAAAAACAUGCUGAAACAAGGAACGAGGUGGAGCAUUUCUGAAAUACUGAAAGCCUAUGUAUGUUCUAUACCAUCUCUUUUCGGCCACAAACCUUUAUUCCUAGUUUAGGCAUUUGGCCAUCCUCGAGUCCCUCAGUAGUCAGUGGGAUUCCUGCUUGGCAUCUCCAAAAGUGGUAAAGCAUCCCUGCUUGUUCAUGCAGUCCCUGAGAGCAACAAUGGGCCUUACUGAAAGUUUUAACUCAGAGUACGCUGAAAGAAGUGGGAUAUGGCGCAUAUGCCAAAACGGAUCCUAUUUUUCUAUUCCAUGCCUUCAAAAAAAGCCCCCAAAGAUUCAGAUUUAGCCAAGCCGCUAAGAAAAAAAUGAAAUGAAUGUAUCUGUUCUUACAGUGUGUUUCAAUGACAGCAACAACACAGGAAAACUGUCAAUAAAAGCAAUAAAUUGAGUGAGCAUGAGUUACCAUGUGUCAUCGUACAGGGGUGAAAGUGAGACCAGGUAGGGAAAUGCAGGGUAUCUUUGUUCCUGUCUAGGAGCAGAGACACCAUCUCCAGGUCACACUCAAGCAACUGCCAUCUCCUGCCACCCUCGCUGCUUCCUGGGUUACUCACAGCUCUUCUGCUUUGCACAGGCAGUGAAAUUUUCCCUCAACGGCUGGUGUCAGUUUAAUAAUCUUUCCUGAAAAGCACUCUGCUUGGAACUUCUCUCUGUUUUCCCCUGCUAAUUUCCAAGUGGGAGCAUCACUGCCUGAAAGUUUGGCUGCUUAGGAACUGGGCCGAACUGUGGGGCUGGUUUUAAUUUUUGCGCUCUUGCAAACUCAGUCUCUUUUUGUCUCCCCGUGGCCACAUUUAGCUUCUCCCAGCUUUUUCCCAUUCGCUGGUGCGGUAGACCGGGACCUGCUACUCCAUAACCAGCCACUCCUGCAUCUGCUCCCGCAUCCUCUCUGGGACAGUGGGAAGUGCCAGGUCCAGCGGUGAAAGGUCUGAGAAAUGCUGGAGCAAGGCAGUUAAAAAGAAUGUCCUCUGAGGGGAAAAAGUUUGGUCUCGCCCACCCUCAAAGACUGCUUUAUGUCCUGCAGCCUACACUGGAAGAUAAGCUCCAUUAAAAUCAAAUCACAACUUUAUUUUUAGCACUUAACGCAUUCUCUUUUUUUCCAUGCACCUUUCCAUUCCCUUUUAAUUCGUGAAACUCCUGGCCUCGGUUGCCUCUGGUGGCAAGAAACUGCACCAGGCAGUCGUAUGCUGUGGGAAAGGGUUGCUUUUCACCCUUUGCCUUUUAUUUUCAGCAGAUGCCCUCCUGCUUGUGUAUGAUGGGAAAUGAUGAACAGGACUCACUUUCUUUGGUGCCAUUCGUUAUUUUGAACACCUUUAUCUUUUCCCUUCUCUGAAGUGAGCAGGUUUUAUUUUACUAUUCAUCUAGAAGCUUUUCAUGCCUCUAAUUAUUUUCAUUGUCAUUUCUGAACUCAUUUCAUUUCUGCUUUGUCCUUCUCAAGGUGUCCGGAACCGA